GACGAACGCUGGCGGCGUGCUUAACACAUGCAAGUCGUACGGUAAGGCCCUUUCGGGGGUACACGAGUGGCGAACGGGUGAGUAACACGUGAGUAACCUGCCCACAACUUUGGGAUAACGCUAGGAAACUGGUGCUAAUACUGGAUAUGUGCUCCUGCUGCAUGGUGGGGGUUGGAAAGCUCCGGCGGUUGUGGAUGGACUCGCGGCCUAUCAGCUUGUUGGUGGGGUAGUGGCCUACCAAGGCGGCGACGGGUAGCCGGCCUGAGAGGGUGACCGGCCACAUUGGGACUGAGAUACGGCCCAGACUCCUACGGGAGGCAGCAGUGGGGAAUAUUGCACAAUGGGCGCAAGCCUGAUGCAGCAACGCCGCGUGCGGGAUGACUGCCUUCGGGUUGUAAACCGCUUUCAGCAGGGACGAAGCUUUUUGUGACGGUACCUGCAGAAGAAGCACCGGCUAACUACGUG
rnacentral:rRNA from 1 species